GACGAACGCUGGCGGCGUGCUUAACACAUGCAAGUCGAACGGGCCCGCCCCUGUUUUUGGGGGUGGGUUGAGUGGCGAACGGGUGAGUAUCACGUGAGUAACCUGCCCCCUGCUCCUGGAUAACUGCUUGAAAGGGCGGCUAAUACGGGGUGUGCCGGCUGGUCCGCAUGGGCCUGGUCGGGAUAGUUUCAUCUUCGGGUGUUUCGGUGGGGGAUGGGCUCGCGGCCUAUCAGCUUGUUGGUGGGGUGAUGGCCCACCAAGGCGGUGACGGGUAGCCGGCCUGAGAGGGUGGGCGGCCACACUGGGACUGAGACACGGCCCAGACUCCUGCGGGAGGCAGCAGUGGGGGGUAUUGCACAAUGGGCGGAAGCCUGAGGCAGCGACGGCGCGUGAGGGAGGGAGGCCGUCGGGUGGUGAACCUCUUUCUCCGGUGGUGAAGGCCCUGUCCGGUGCGGCGGGGUUGACGGUAGCCGGGUAUGAAGCGCCGGCUAACUACGUG
rnacentral:rRNA from 1 species